UACAGAGGUCUCAAGCGUUGUUCGGAUUCAUUGGGCGUAAAGGGUGCGUAGGUGGCGCCGUAAGUCGGAUGUGAAAUUUCGGAGCUUAAUUCCGAAACUGCAUUCGAUACUGCGGUGCUUGAGGACUGGAGAGGAGACUGGAAUUCAUGGUGUAGCAGUGAAAUGCGUAGAGAUCAUGAGGAAGACCAGUGGCGAAGGCGGGUCUCUGGACAGUUCCUGACACUGAGGCACGAAGGCCAGGGGAGCAAACGGG
rnacentral:rRNA from 1 species